GUGAGGGACGAAGCCCUGGGUCGCAAACGGGAUUAGAUACCCCGGUAGUCCAGGGUGUAAACGCUGCAGACUUGGUGUUGGAGGCCCUUCGGGGGCAUUCAGUGCCGGAGAGAAGUUGUUAAGUCUGCUACUUGGGGAGUACGUCCGCAAGGAUGAAACUUAAAGGAAUUGGCGGGGGAGCACCGCAACGGGAGGAGCGUGCGGUUUAAUUGGAUUCAACACCGGAAAACUCACCAAGGGCGACUGUUACAUGAAAGCCAGGCUAAUGACCUUGCUAGAUUUUCAGAGAGGUGGUGCAUGGCCGUCGUCAGUUCGUACCGUAAGGCGUUCUCUUAAGUGAGAUAACGAACGAGACCCUCACUGAUAAUUGCUACUCCAUCCUCCGGGGUGGAGGCACAUUAUUGGGACCGCUGGCGCUAAGUCAGAGGAAGGAGAGGUCAACGGUAGGUCAGUAUGCCCCGAAUCUCUUGGGCUACACGCGCGCUACAAAGGGCGGGACAAUGGGCUCCGACGCCGAAAGGCGAAGGUAAUCUCGAAACCCGUCCAUAGUUCGGAUUGAGGGUUGUAACUCACCCUCAUGAAGCUGGAUUCCGUAGUAAUCGCGAAUCAACAACUCGCGGUGAAUAUGCCCCUGCUCCUUGCCCACACCGCCCGUCAAACCAUCCGAGUUGGGUUUCAGUGAGGUUGCCUCUAAUUAGGGUAUUCGAACUGAGAUUUAGCAAGGAAGGUUAAGUCGUAACAAGGUAUCU
rnacentral:rRNA from 1 species